CGGGGGCGUUGAUUGUCACCGGCGCUCGUUAACUUGGUUAAUUUUAUUGAGGGCUGUCAACUUGCGACGGGAGGAAGGCGUUAAAUUAUUCAUACCUUCUUGAAAUACAAAAGACAGCUGAGGCGAGGGAGCGCCGUUAUGUAGGUCAUUUCCUCUAUCCUUCACACGGCCGCCACAACGGUGGUGAGAGGCGAGAGGAAAGAGAGAGGAGAGAGGAGAGAGGAGAGAGAGAGAGAGAGAGAGAGAGAGAGGAAAGAGAGGAGAGCAAGGAGAGAUUAGAGAGAGGAAAUAGGAGAAUAGGAGAGAGGAGAGAGAGACAUAGAGAAAGAGAGGGGAUUGAUAGGAGAGAAAAGAGAGGGGAGAGAUAGAGAGGAGAGAGAGGACAAAGGAGAGAGGAGGGAGAGGACAAAGGAGAGAGAGAGAGAGGACUUAGAAGAGAGAGACAGAGAAGAGAGAGGUGAGAGAAGAGAGAAGGGAGAGGAGAGAGAGGAGAGAGGGAGGAGAAAGGAGAAAGAGAGGAGAGAGGGAGGAGAGCAAGGGGAGAUUAGAGAGAGGUAAUAGGGGAUACUGUAGAAGAGAGACAGAUGAGAGAGGAGAUAGAAGAGAGAGAGAUGCAGAUGAGAGAGAGAAGAGAGGGAGAUGAGAGAGAGAUGAGAUAGGAUAGAAAAGAUAGAGGAGAGAGGAGAAAGAGAGAGAGCGAGAGAGAGGAGAGAUAGAGAGGAGAGAGGAGAGAAAGAGGUGAGAGGAGAUUAAGGAGUAAUAGGAGAGAGGAGAGAGAGUUGAGAGGAGUUAGAAAAGCGAGACAGAGGAGAGAGAGGAGAGAGUGGAGAUAGGAGAUAGAAAGGACAGAGAGAUAGGAGAGAGGAGGGAGAAGAGAGAGAGGUGAGAGAGAGGAGAGAGGGGAGGAGAGAGAGGACAGAGAGAUAGGAGAGAGGAGGGAGAGAGGAGAGAGAAAAGAGAAAAGAGAGAGAGCGGAGAGAGGAGAGAUAGUGGAGAGGGAAACGAGGAGAGAGGAGAGAGGAAAUAGAGGAGAGGAGAGAGAGAGCAAAGCGAGGAGAGAAGAGAGAGAAAGGACAGAGAGAUAGGAGAGGGAAGCGAGGAGAGAGAAGAGAGAAGAGAGAGAGGAAAGAGGACUUAGAAGUGAGAGAUAGAGGAGAGAGAUGAGAGGAGAGAAGGAGGAGAGAGGACAUAGGAGAGAGGAGAGAGGAGAGAGAUGGGAGUGAGAGACAGAGGAGAGAGAAGAGAGAGCGAGAGAGAGAGGGGAGGGGAUAGAGAAGAGAGAGGAGAGAGAGGAGAUAGGAGAGAGGAGAGGGAAAGAUGAGAGAGAGAGGAGAUAGGAGAGAGGAAAAAGAGGACAAAGGAGAGAGAUGAGAAAGAGGAGAGAGAAGAGAGAGAUGGAAGCGAGAGAGAGAAAGGAGAGAGCAAAGAGGAAAGAGGAGAGAGAAUAGAGGAGAUAGGAUAGAAAAGAUAGGAGAUGGGAUAGAGAGGAGAGAGGAGAGCAAGGAGAUAUUAGAGAGAGAAGAGAGAAAGAGAGGCAGAGGAGAGAAAGAGGAGAUAGAAAGGAGAGAGAUAUGAGAGAGAGAGGAGAGAGAAGAGCAAGAGAGAAGAGAGAGAGAGGAGAGACAGAGAGGAGAGAGGAGAGAGGAGAGAGAGAGGCGAGAGAGAGGAGAAAGAAGAGCGAGAAGAGAGAGGAGAGAGGAGAGAUAAGAGAGGAGAUAGGAAAGAGGAGCGAGAAGACAGAAGAGAGAGGAGGGAAAGAAAGGAGAGAGAGAGGAGAAAGAAGAGCGAGAAGAGAGAGGAGAGAGAGAAGAGAGGAGAUAGGAUAGAGGAUAGAGGAAAGGGGCUAGAUGAGAGAGGGGAGAGUGGAGAUAGAAGAGGAGAGAGAUGGAGAGGAGAGACAGAGAGGAAAGAGAAAGAGAGGAGAGAAGCGAGAGAGAGAGUAUAAAGAAGAGCAAGAAGAGAGAAGAGAGAGAGGAGAGAGAAGAGAGGAGAUAGGAAAGAGGAGAGAGAAGAUAGGAUAGAGGAAAGAGGAUAGAGGAAAGAGGAGAUAGGAGAGAGAGAAAGGAGAUAGGAUAGAGGAAAGAGGAGAUAGGAGAGAGAGGCAAGAGAAGAGAGGAGAUAGGAUAGAGGAAAGAGGAUAGAGGGGAGAGAGGCGAGAGAAGAGAGAGGAGAGAGAAUAGAGGAGAGAGGAAAGAGGAGAGAGAGGCGAGAGAAGAGAGAGGAGAGAGAAGAGAGGAGAGACAAAGAGGGAAAAAAGAGAGAAAGGAGAGAGGAGAGAGAGGAGAAAAUAGAGAGAUGAGGAAAGAGAGAAAGGAGAGAGAGAGAGGUAGAGAGGAGAAAGUGGACAGAGGAGAGAGAGAUGAGAGAUGAGAGAGACGAGAGAGGAGAGAGAGAGGAGAGAUGAGAGAGAAGAGAGAGGAGAGAGAGGAGAGAGAGAUGAGAGAGGAAAAAUGAGAGAGGAGAGAGAGAAGAGAGAGAGGUAGAGAGGAGAGAGAGGAGAAAGAGGACAAAGGAGAGAGGAGAGAGAGGCGAGAGAAGAGAGGAGAUAGGAUAGAGGAAAGAGGAGAGAGAGGCGAGAGAAGAGAGGAGAUAGGAUAGAGGAAAGAGGAGAGAGAAGAGAGGAUAGAGGGGAGAGAAGAGAGAGGAAAGAGAAGAGAGAGGAGAGAGAGGAAAGAGGAGAGAGAAUCAAGAGAAGAGAGGAGAUAGGAUAGAGGAAAGAGGAGAGAGAAGAGAGGAGAGAGAGGAAAGAGAAAGAGAGGAGAAAAAAGAGAGAAAGGAGAGAGGAGAGAGAGGAGAGAGAGAGAAGAGAGAGGAGAGAGAGGAGAAAGGAGAAAGAGGACAAAGGAGAGAGAUGAGAGAGGAGAGAGGAAAGAGAAGAGAGGAGAUUGCAUAGAGGAAAGAUGAGAGAGGAAAUAGGAUAGAGGAAAGAGGAGAUAUGAGAGAGAGGCGAGAGAAGAGAGGAGAUAGGAUAGAGGAAAGAGGAGUGAGAAGAGAGGAGAGAGAGAGAUCAGCGAGAGAGGAGAGAGGAGAAAUAGGAGAGAGGAGAGUGGAGAAAGAGUACAGAGGAGAGUGAGGAGAGAGAAUAUAUAGAGAGAAGAGAGAGAGGAGAGACGAGAGGGGAGAGAGAAGAGACAAGAGAGAGAGAGAGAGAGAGAGAGAGAAAGAUAAAUAGCUAGGAACACAGAUUGAGUCUCUCUGCUGUGGUCUGUGUGUGUGAGAUAGAGAGAGAGAGAGAGAUAAAUAGCUAGGAACACAUAUUGAUAUAUAGAGAGGAGAUAAAGAGAGUGAGAGAAGUCCAGGAUUUAGGACACUUAACAAUUCCAGAGACUUUUUGACCACUUAGCAGAUGCUCGCAACUUACAGGAGCAAUUAGGGUUAAGUGCCUUGCUCAAGGGCACGUCAACUGAUUUUUCACUUAAUCGGCUUGGGGAUUCGAACAAGCGACCUUUUGGUUACUGGCCCAACACUCUUAAUCUCUAGGCUACCUGCCGCAGUAGGGGGCUCCUCCUUGAUAUCCGCCCAGCAAACCCAGG
rnacentral:lncRNA from 1 species